rnacentral:rRNA from 1 species
CCUACGGGAGGCAGCAGUGAGGAAUAUUGGUCAAUGGGCGCGAGCCUGAACCAGCCAAGUCGCGUGAGGGAAGACGGCCCUACGGGUUGUAAACCUCUUUUGCCGGGGAGCAACGGGCGCCACGUGUGGCGCCACUGAGAGUACCCGGCGAAAAAGCAUCGGCUAACUCCGUGCCAGCAGCCGCGGUAAUACGGAGGAUGCGAGCGUUAUCCGGAUUUAUUGGGUUUAAAAGGUGCGUGGGCGGGGCGUUAAUUCAGUGGUAAAAUUGAGGGGCUCAACCCCUUCCCGCCAUUGAAACUGGCGCUCUUGAGUGGAAGAGAAGUAUGCGGAAUGCGUGGUGUAGCGGUGAAAUGCGUAGAUAUCAGGAGGAACACCGGUGGCGAAGGCGGCCUGCUGGACUGCAACUGACGUUGAGGCCCGAAAGCGUGGGGAGCAAACAGGAUUAGAUACCCCUGUAGUC